CAUCAUUUCUUAGGGCUUCAGAAUUUCAGGUUCUCUGACUCUUGAGUCUCAUCUUUGGUAAAAGGACUCAUCCAAACAUGAAGAUCCUUGCAUUUGCCUUUAUCAUGGCUCUCCUGGUUGCCAUGAUUGGAGCUGAUUCAUUUGAUGAGGUAAGAC